rnacentral:lncRNA from 1 species
AUGGGGAAUUUAUUUAACAAUAACUGUGGGGCAGAAGGAAAGGGAUGGGAAAGAAAACGGUGAAAAGGGGAGAUGGGGUACACUGCGGUGUGGGACGGAGAAGAUUGCUGGUCAUAAGACAUGACAUGAGCUGGAGUGAGGUGGGAAAACCAUCAAACAGGAGACAAUCCAGGAUGAUUGGCUCCAGUAGCAUCCCAUCAGUGCUUCUCUGUGCUGGGGCCCAUGUGGUUCUUGUGGACAUGAGCAGCAUGGGUCAUUCAUCUGGGCUUAACACCCUUCUCCAGUCCACGUUGCGGGAAUCCAGGGAAGCGUUUUCUUCUUUGCCCUGAGAAAGGAAGAUCAGCCUUCAUUUACCUGCAAUGAUAAGGCCCAAGGAGCAUUUCUCAGCUCUGAACCCAGCCUGCCUGUGGGCAGGGUGGGGAUGCAUCCCCACAGUGCAACCCGGGCCUAAAGUCAGCUUCUGCGGGAUUCUACAAGGCAGCGCUGGCAUCCUCCCUCAGGCAGCUCUCCCUGACCAGGCUGCCAUGCUGGUGGCAGGGGGUGAGGGGCUGGAGAAGGCAGCAGGACCUACCUUUGGCAAGUGGUGGUUGCCUCGGGCACCAUCCAUCCAUCCAUUGGUGCAUCCCGUGUGUGACUCCCAUUGGUGCUGUUGCUUCCCGGACGUGCCUCUGCCCUUGAGAGCUGAGUGUCCAAGGGCUGAGCCAGCAUCUUUGGGCAUCGUCCUGGCACUGGGCUCAGUCCUCUCGCUGCCCCCUGAGGCAGCUGAAGGAGAAGAGCCGUCGCAGAGCCCGCCGGGCCGUCUUGGCGAUGGAGCGCCAUCGCCGUGGGGCCAGGGGCUGCGGGACGGCUGCGCUGCCGGCGGGGCAAGCAGGAGCGCUGCGUGCCAGGGGCUGGGCAGGCAGUGGGCAAUCCCCUGCCGGUGCCUCAGCUCUGCAGAGCUCAUCCUGGGAAGGGGCAGCCGGGGCAGAGCCAGCAUCCAUCCAUGCUGUGUCAGCCUCAUCCACGGCAGGCACGGAGAUGCAAACCGCAGACGUGUCUGCCUCUUCGGACAGUGCCGUGGGGAGAGGUUCACUGUGCUCCUCGUCACUGACAUCGCUGUCUGGAGGAGUAGGUGCUGGCUCUAACUCUUCGUCUCGUGGAGGGAGAGAUAACGGGCUGUGUACCUCGCUUUCCCUCUCUCCUGCCGCUUCUUCUCGCUCCCACUUCUCCAGGAGCUCGUUCAGAAGAGUCUCCAGGGGCAGCGAGUCGUCAGAGUCAGACCCCGAGUCUGCCAACGGG